rnacentral:misc_RNA from 1 species
GAUGAAGAACGUAGUGAAAUGCGAUAAGUAAUGUGAAUUGCAGAAUUCCGUGAAUCAUCGAAUCUUUGAACGCACAUUGCGCCCCCUGGCAUUCCGGGGGGCAUGCCUGUCCGAGCGUCAUUUCUGCCCUCCAGCCCGGCUGGGUGUUGGGCGCUGUCCCCCCGGGGACACGCCCCAAAGGCAGUGGCGGCGCCGCGUCGGGUCCUCGAGCGUAUGGGGCUUUGUCACCCGCUCGGGACGGACUCGUCGGCGCUGGUCUUCCUCCAGGCGACCCUUCGGGGCUCGUCUUCCUUCGGUUGACCUCGGAUCAGGUAGGGUUACCCGCUGAACUUAGGCAUAUCAAUAAGCGGAGGA